UGCCAGCCGCCGCGGUAAUACGUAGGGUGCGAGCGUUAAUCGGAAUUAUUGGGCGUAAAGAGCACGUAGGCUGCCCGGUUAGUCCGCUGUAAAAGUCAAAGGCUCAACCUUUGAAUGCCGGUGGAUACUGCCGGGCUAGAGUCCGGAAGAGGCGAGUGGAAUUCCUGGUGUAGCGGUGGAAUGCGCAGAUAUCAGGAGGAACACCCAUAGCGAAGGCAGCUCGCUGGGACGGUACUGACGCUGAGGUGCGAAAGCGUGGGGAGCGAACAGGAUUAGAUA
rnacentral:rRNA from 1 species